rnacentral:lncRNA from 1 species
CUAACGUUAGCUUAAAAUACCUAUGUGUAUGCACAUGUAUGCUAGCGUAGUGUGUGUGUUAGUUUGAGUGAGGUACUUCGCAUGAUAUUUUUGGCUUUGGCAACCGUUGUUACCAUACCAUCUUUAGGUUUCGUAACAUGACAAAAAUCAGCCCUGUUCUGGGGCUUGUUCAGUAUUGAAAUCCUAUAGAAUUCAUAGUACUCCAAAAAUGCAGGUACAGAUUGUCCAGAUUUGGCCAAUAACAAAAUUCACAACCAACAGGUCUGCAACAGGGUACUAUGAUGUGUAUUUGGAUUCCAUAAGCAUGAAAGUAAAGCCUUGUUCAAAGGCUGUUUUAAAGUUUAGCCUCGUUCAAUGGCUAUAUAAGUUAGUUUAUUUUGUUUAAGCCCUCUUCUAUUUCAAUAGCAUACAGUGGUAUUUUGAAUAUAAGGGAAUCGAGUAAUAUGAAUUGUCUUCAGUUUUUUGAUACUAUUACAAGUAUAAGGUGUGUAAUUUGUAAUUUUGAUUGAUUUUGACAGUGACUUAGCUCAUCACAUUGCUCUGGGCCAGUGGACAACUAAAUUUGGCAAAGACAUUGAGGGUUUCCCUCAUCAAACUACUGUAAAUUCUUGUGGCAUCUUAAUGUUGAUGAGGGACAUGGCACGCAUCCGAAAAUGGUGGUGCAUUAGUCUAAUGGAACGGUUCCAGAUUGACGGGUAAGACAACUCUAAAUGUUACUUCCUACAAUACAUUGCUUCUACAUUAGUUUACUUUUUUUUAUUAUUUUACUAAUAUCUUACUCAAAAGCCAUGGACAGAGGUUUGCAUACUGGACUAAUGAGGCCAGAGCAUUGCUCCAAGGUUCACUGCAGCCGAUAUACAGGGUCCCAAAGGCCAGCAAGAGGGAACAUGAGGUUUCGAUUAGAAAAGGAUGACAGGUGCAUCAUAUUGGAGUGGUACUACAGGAAGGAGAUAAGGCAUACUUAA